AGUAACGCGUGAGGAACCUGCCUCAAAGAGGGGGACAACAGUUGGAAACGACUGCUAAUACCGCAUAAGCCCACGGCUCGGCAUCGAGCAGAGGGAAAAGGAGCAAUCCGCUUUGAGAUGGCCUCGCGUCCGAUUAGCUAGUUGGUGAGGUAAUGGCCCACCAAGGCGACGAUCGGUAGCCGGACUGAGAGGUUGAACGGCCACAUUGGGACUGAGACACGGACCAG
rnacentral:rRNA from 1 species